GGCUCGUUGGUCUAGGGGUAUGAUUCCUGCUUUGGGUGCAGGGGGUCCCGGGUUCAAAUCCCGGACGAGCCC
rnacentral:tRNA from 1 species